AUUGAACGCUGGCUGCAUGCUUAACACAUGCAAGUCGAACGAGAAAGUACCUUCGGGUGCGAGUAUAGUGGCGGACGGGUGAGUAAUGCAUAGGAAUCUGCCCAGUAGUGGGGGACAACUCGGGGAAACUCGAGCUAAUACCGCAUAUUUCCUACGGGAGAAAGACUUCGGUCGCUAUUGGAUGAGCCUAUGUCAGAUUAGCUUGUUGGUAGGGUAAUGGCCUACCAAGGCUACGAUCUGUAGCUGGUCUGAGAGGAUGAUCAGCCACACUGGGACUGAGACACGGCCCAGACUCCUACGGGAGGCAGCAGUGGGGAAUAUUGGACAAUGGGCGAAAGCCUGAUCCAGCAAUGCAGCGUGUGUGAAGAAGGCCUGAGGGUUGUAAAGCACUUUCAGUAGGGAAGAUAAUGACGGUACCUACAGAAGAAGCACCGGCUAACUCCGUG
rnacentral:rRNA from 1 species